CUCUGGCUCUACACAUAGCCAUUACAUUACUGCUUUCUGCAUUCCCUAUCAGAUUUAACUUUCGACUUUGGGAAACUUCUAGUGCUACUGUAUUAAAUCAAAGGGAACUUGCUCAACCCUUUAUAAAACUCAUCAUUCUUAUUUGGAAUAAAGCAGACACACUUUAGGAUAUAUAAACAUUAAAUAACUGAAUGACAUCUAUAUUCACAACAAUACACAACCAUAUUUUAUGAUGGUAUUAAUUAAAAUGUUUAUCUACAAAAACCCAGUUGGAAAAGGUAACAAGAACUAAGAUUCUCCUAGUAUCAAAGUUGCAUUGAGACAUCAGGCUCAAGACUGAGUAUCUAGUAGUUACUUUUGCAUCCUUUGUCACUGAGGAUUUUUUUGGCCUUGUUUUUAAUUUCCUGAUUAAUAACGAUACUAAAUUAUUUUUAGCAUUUUUGCAUGAAUAAUGAAGGAAAAGAUCACCAGAAACCGAUUUCCAAGAGUUUCAUUGAAAUAGUCAUAGCGAAAAGUAUGGAGAAAAAGUCUCUAUGUUUCCAGUUAGGCCACAAAAGGAAAAGAUAAAUAUUUUCCUUAAAACAUAUGUCAAUAUUUACUUUCAUUAUGGCUGAAGACAAUAAUGCCCAAUGUCAUUGUCACUCUGUUUUGAUGUACAGCGACUCAGAAAAGCGAUUUCGAGCUUUUCUAUUUCUGUGCAUCUUUCAAUUUGUUCAACUUUCAGGAGUUCCAAUGCCAUUUCUCACUGCAGGGGUUCUGCAGGACGAAACGCCCUCUGGAGUCCAGGUGGCUCCCGUUAGUCUCCAGCUCCUCCAGUUCACAACAGCAGUGAUUCCCAGGCUUCCUCAACAAUGUACCCUAUUUCCUGGUGCACUUAACUACUGAAAGUGCAUUCUUUUUACAAGAAGAAAAUUUUGGUGGAGAGCUACUCAAUAAAGAAAGGACGUGUGGCUAUUAAGAUAGACAAGAAGAAGGGAGGCAAAUUCCAGCCUUUUAAGAAGUUAUUUGGCAAAAGGAAAAAGAAAGACACUUCACUGUCCCAGGAGGCGUCAGCAGGA